rnacentral:rRNA from 1 species
UAGCUUGCUACCAGGCGUCGAGCGGCGGACGGGUGAGUAACGCGUGAGAAUCUGCCCAUUUGUGGGGGAUAACUCGGGGAAACUCGAGCUAAUACCGCAUAAUCCCUACGGGGGAAAGCAGGGGACCUUCGGGCCUUGUGCAGAUGGAUGAGCUCGCGUCGGAUUAGCUUGUUGGUGAGGUAAAGGCUCACCAAGGCGACGAUCCGUAGCUGGUCUGAGAGGAUGAUCAGCCACACCGGGACUGAGACACGGCCCGGACUCCUACGGGAGGCAGCAGUGGGGAAUCUUGGACAAUGGGGGCAACCCUGAUCCAGCCAUGCCGCGUGUGUGAAGAAGGCCUUCGGGUUGUAAAGCACUUUCAGUAGGGAGGAAGGCUUACCGCUAAUAACGGUGAGUACUUGACGUUACCUACAGAAGAAGCACCGGCUAAUUUCGUGCCAGCAGCCGCGGUAAUACGAAAGGUGCGAGCGUUAAUCGGAAUUACUGGGCGUAAAGCGCGCGUAGGCGGUUUGUUAAGUCAGAUGUGAAAGCCCCGGGCUCAACCUGGGAAUUGCAUUUGAAACUGGCAGGCUAGAGUGCAGUAGAGGGAGGUGGAAUUUCCGGUGUAGCGGUGAAAUGCGUAGAGAUCGGAAGGAACACCAGUGGCGAAGGCGGCC